UCAAACCCCAAGUCCUACCGACAUCAUUUGGUUUGGGUAUUUUAAGAAAAAAUUGAAACGCAGAUUCUGUAAAGACAGAACCAAACCAGCAGCGCAGCGCCGCAUCACACAAUCAGAACCAAACGCAUCCCAGAUUCCGACAGUCUGGAUGUUUAAAAAAAAUAAAAAACAAAACAAAACAAAAUAGCUUUGCUGCGCAGCAGCAAAACCAAAUCAUGGACAUCAGCAGUGGGUCAAACUUGUUAAACCCCACCCCCAAAACUAAAUGUAAUUUCACACUUUAUUUAACAUUUAUGAAGUUACAUUUGUACCCCAGAAUUUCUACCCAAUCCAGAUCCCAUUUUCAUAAUUCCUCUAAAUUUCUCUCCUCUCUCUAUCUGCCAUGUGGCAGACUUUCACCCUCUCUCUCUCUCUCUCCCUCUCUCAGCUCAUACACUCUCUUUCAUUCUCGGAUCUCCUUCAACUCACUUUCCAUCUCCCAUUCCUGAUCAACCCACACAUAAACCUUCGAACCCACACCCCCCACAAACACCAACCUUCAAACCCAGGACUUUCUCUCUCACACACACAUAAACCUUCGAACCCACACCCCCCACAGACACCAACCUUCAAACCCAGGACCUUCUUUCUCUCUUCCUUCUCCGUGAAGUGUCGGGACACCCAGAGGACACCCAACCCAGGUCUUGCGAACUCGUGACUAUCGAGCAAGAUUCCGGCCACCUCCGACCACUUCACGACUUGAGAUAGGUGCAAUUAUUAGUGGCAAUUUCGUCCUUUCUAUUUCGUAUGGCUCUUCGAUGACAAAGUAUCUGACAUAGGAACGAGGCUUACGAUACACGCUACGAGGCAUUCCCCUACCAGUGAUAUUGUGUCAUCUUCUUUGCUUGACAUCUAUUGUAAUGACAGCCCUUCUCUAUUUUACCUUCCGCUUGUUCUCUAGAUUAGUUGUAUACUCUGAACAUGUCAUGCAUUAUUAUUAUAUUCAUUGUUGGCAGUUGAAAUUAUUAUUGUAUUUUGUAAGACUUAUAUUUGAAUAUUACAUUGCGUAAUAAUGCGCGAAAUUUAUAUGCA